rnacentral:misc_RNA from 1 species
AGAUGAUAUAACUCCUAGUAAUGCAAAUAAGAGAACGCGUGAAAAUUUUCUUGGUAACAGCUGCUUGGUAUAACUACAUGAUACAGACACACAUGACCCCAGCAAGAGAAAAAUGUACACCACCACUUUUUUUUUUUUUAAAUAAUUUGAAGAAGUUUACAAAACACCCACCAUUUGAUUGCUACUUGCCCUUAAAAUAGCACAUGGGUUGUUGCACAUUUCUGUAGAAAAGAGCUCAGUGAAAUUCCCAAAACACUCUAAUCAAGGCACCGAACGCAGAUGUGGCUGUAAGCCCUACUGCCAAUGCCAUGUCCAUAUAUCCUCGUGAGCCCUACCAGUUAGACUCAGUAGAUUUGCUCCCAUAAAACACAGUUGAUUUCACAGCCUCAGAUGCAUAGGAAUUUUCUCGCUCCAAGGAACAACACAGAUUUUGUGUUCUACCAUUAUACGUAUAGAUAUUAGAAAAACAAGACAAAAUCAACUAAGGGGCACAAUGCACACAGAUUCUUAGGGACAAAAGAUGCCUCCUGUACAAGACAAGUUAACAAGGAAUCUAACACGAGAUGAAUCAUAUGCAAGACACAGAAUCCAUAAGAUCUGUUGUGGUACAUGUAUUCCUAGUAUAAUAACCAGCAGUAAUAUAAAUUGAGCUGAACAAACAUAUAGCAACUGAAGGAUACAUUAAUGGUCUUUCAAUAGUUAUAAAACCCCCACCUUACAACUUUUGCAACUAGCAGCUAGGCUUAAUUGCCCCUACCCAACGUUCACCCACCUUAAUAUUUGGGUUGGCCACGCCUGUACGCAUUAAUACCAUCACCACUUUCUUAUCUACCAGCAAUAAAAACUCAUCUAUCAAAGGUGGGUUUUACACCAGCAAUUAGCACUCACCAACUUAAGGUAAUAUAAAACCAGUUGGCCUCUCUCUUCCUUUUGGUUUUGGCAUGUGUGUGCUGAAGGGUGCCAUUUAUCCAAAAAAAAAAAAAAAAGGACCACCCCGAUCGAUACAUGAUCUGUUGGAACUUGGCAGGACAAUAGCAUGCAUAGAAUGCGCAGGUUGACUUUGGAUUUCUCAGCCCCACUAAAACAGAAGCACCAAUGCCAGAACAAAUAUGCUCUUGAGUGGUGGAACUAGAAAAUAUACUGUAGCUAUGCCAAUUUGCUUUCUGCUAGUCCUAAGGAGGGUGAGUCGAUAGUAAAAAAAUUUAUAUAAUUAGCUAUGGUAAUUAUGCUAAUUGAUCAAUAAAGUUUAGGCUAUGUGGGAUUAUAUGGGGCUUAUGAGAAGGAAAGAGCUACCAGUUGUAACCCACCGUUGAACCAAAAAAAGGCAAAAUGUGCUUUCUGCUAAACACUAUGUGCAUGAAUCAAGUUCAAGGAAAUGGAAGUGGGAGAAACAAAAGGAAAAGUGGGAAUAAGGACAACCACAUUGACAAAGAAAUACCGAACAUGUUACAACAAAAACAUGAGUGAAAAUGAAGAUACCCAAUUGAUGUUGAAAAAUGAGCUCCUAAUGUUGCAAUCUGCGUUACAUCCACUGGUAGAAUAAACAAAUAUUAGCAAGUAAGAAGACAAUAUUAAAAUAAAAUGAAUCUUAAUAUUUGUCAUGAGUAAACAAACAAGCCCAAUUGAGCACUAGUAUUAAUAUAUUCUUGAAACAACUAAUUAAAUUAUCACAAACAACAGUAGUUUAAUAAACAAAGAACAAUGUUUCCCCAAAUAUCAUAUUACGCUAAUCCUAGCUCUGCUACUAUCUUAAAGCACCGCUACUUCCGUAAAAUCUAUACACAAUUCCCUCUGGAAAUAGCAACUCUCAACACUAAUAGUAUUCUUAUAAAUAAUAAUAAAAUUAUAAACAAACAAAUGAAGUACAGAUAUUCUUCUUCCCAUUCACACUCUCAACAGGAUCAAGAAGAUGACCCCAGAAAAAAAUUAAUGCAAGAUAUAAAGAUUUAGAUAUGGCAUCCAAAACAAUUACAGGUCUUGGGAGUGAAAGAACAGAAACCAAAGGGCCUGUUGGGAAUGUUGCAAUUGAUGGCAUAGCAACAAGGAGAAGGCAAGCAAAGCCCCUUAGCACCGCCACAGCAAGUGCAAAGAGCACAUAUCUGGAAGCUACCCAACCUCCUCCUGCUCUCAUUCGCCAUCAGUCUCAUCUCCACCACCUUCUCAGGCUCCAUAAAUGGCACCAUAUCAUUGGUAGUUGCAGACCCAUUUGCCUCCAAAUCAAGAGACAAACAAAACAAACAUUCAAUCCACAAAACAACCACAAGAAUAAUGACCAAUUUGAAAAGAAAUGAAAAGGGAUCUAAGAAAUUAAAAAGCGUGUUAUAACUGAAAGAAAUAAAGAAACACUCACUUGGGCUACACUUGUACUUGCUUCACUGUAACUGAUGACAUUAGCCAAAAGCAGCAAGAGCAGAAUGAGAGGAAGGGUGACCCCAUAGGCAGCAGACAUAAUGUAUGUUUAUCUUUCUUUUAAGAUGGGUUUUGGAUUUGUUUGAGCUAAAUUUGUAUCAGCUGGUAACCGGGUUUUGGUUUUGAUCUGCUCUGGAGAGGUAAUUGAUUUGAUGGAUCAUAAAUAUAAAUGCAUUUUUAGUUUAGUUGAUGGGUUUUCAAGUGCCUUAGGUUUUAGGUGGUAUUAAAGAGAAAGAGAGAGAGAGAGAGAGGACUAAGGCUAGAAUUCUAUGAUGAAUCCACCCAUUGGAGAUCUGUGAGGGACUCCCUUCCUCCUCUUGGCAGUAGUCCUGUAACUCACAGAAGUUGGUGGUGGUGUUGAUGGUGUAAAGCUUUGGAUUUUGCUUUUGCUAUUAUCACUUCCCUUAUUGAUAAUGCCAAUGCUAUUAUUCAUUGAUUCUUCUGUGUCUGAUCCAUUCAUUUCCUUGCGCAUUUUCUUCUUCCUGAAGUUCUUUGAUGUCACAACAAUCUUGCAUCCAAGGGAACAGAAACUGAAAGAAUCAAGAAGGCUACGGUGACAGACUUGACAAGCAUUGGUGACACCUUUACCAGGCCUAGGCUGAGGCCUCUCAUUCAAAAACACAAUUCUAGCACUGUUGAUAAUGUAGGUCUGGACUCCUGUUAUGUCCAGGUAUUUCUGAAUCUCAGACACUCUAAUCACAUCAUGGUAUGAUGAUCUCCUUAUCUGAAUAGCUUUAUGGUCUUUGUGAAAUGAGAGACAAAGAGAACAAAGGGCACCAUUCUUGCAGUCCAAGCAAUACAUGUUGCAUUCACUCUUGUGAGCAUCAGCAUGAAGCUUGCAUUGAACGAAGAAGCUUGUUUGGAGAAGAGGACGCAGCCAUGGCGGCCACUUGACAUCUUCUUCAUUAUCAGCAUCGCCACCACCACCAUCAUCAUCAGGGCCUCCAACACCCAUGAUUCUUCUGCUUUUUCGUUUCAUUUCUCUCACAGUGAUUUCUUGGUCAGUGAUGAUCAUCUGAACAGUUUUGGAGAAAGAAAAGGGAGCUUUCUUUCAAUCUGUCUUGCUAGGAGAGAGAGAGAGAGAGAGGA